UACGAAGGGGGCUAGCGUUGUUCGGAAUUACUGGGCGUAAAGCGCACGUAGGCGGGCGAUUAAGUCAGGGGUGAAAUCCCGGAGCUCAACUCCGGAACUGCCUUUGAUACUGGUCGUCUAGAGAUCGGAAGAGGUGAGUGGAAUUCCCAGUGUAGAGGUGAAAUUCGUAGAUAUUGGGAAGAACACCGGUGGCGAAAGCGGCGCGCUGGACCUCUUCUGACGCUGAGGCGCGAAAGCCAGGGGAGCAAACGGG
rnacentral:rRNA from 1 species